UGCAAGUCGAACGGUGAAGGAGAGCUUGCUCUUUGGAUCAGUGGCGAACGGGUGAGUAACACGUGAGCAAUCUGCCCCUGACUCUGGGAUAACAGUUGGAAACAGCUGCUAAUACCGGAUAUGAGACGUGACCGCAUGGUCGACGUUUGGAAAGAAUUUCGGUCAGGGAUGAGCUCGCGGCCUAUCAGCUUGUUGGUGAGGUAAUGGCUCACCAAGGCGUCGACGGGUAGCCGGCCUGAGAGGGUGACCGGCCACACUGGGACUGAGACACGGCCCAGACUCCUACGGGAGGCAGCAGUGGGGAAUAUUGCACAAUGGGCGAAAGCCUGAUGCAGCAACGCCGCGUGAGGGACGACGGCCUUCGGGUUGUAAACCUCUUUUAGCAGGGAAGAAGCGAAAGUGACGGUACCUGCAGAAAAAGCGCCGGCUAACUACGUGCCAGCAGCCGCGGUAAUACGUAGGGCGCAAGCGUUAUCCGGAAUUAUUGGGCGUAAAGAGCUCGUAGGCGGUUUGUCGCGUCUGCUGUGAAAACUGGAGGCUCAACCUCCAGCCUGCAGUGGGUACGGGCAGACUAGAGUGCGGUAGGGGAGAUUGGAAUUCCUGGUGUAGCGGUGGAAUGCGCAGAUAUCAGGAGGAACACCGAUGGCGAAGGCAGAUCUCUGGGCCGUAACUGACGCUGAGGAGCGAAAGGGUGGGGAGCAAACAGGCUUAGAUACCCUGGUAGUCCACCCCGUAAACGUUGGGAACUAGUUGUGGGGUCCAUUCCACGGAUUCCGUGACGCAGCUAACGCAUUAAGUUCCCCGCCUGGGGAGUACGGCCGCAAGGCUAAAACUCAAAGGAAUUGACGGGGACCCGCACAAGCGGCGGAGCAUGCGGAUUAAUUCGAUGCAACGCGAAGAACCUUACCAAGGCUUGACAUAUACGAGAACGGGCUAGAAAUAGUCAACUCUUUGGACACUCGUAAACAGGUGGUGCAUGGUUGUCGUCAGCUCGUGUCGUGAGAUGUUGGGUUAAGUCCCGCAACGAGCGCAACCCUCGUUCUAUGUUGCCAGCACGUAAUGGUGGGAACUCAUGGGAUACUGCCGGGGUCAACUCGGAGGAAGGUGGGGAUGACGUCAAAUCAUCAUGCCCCUUAUGUCUUGGGCUUCACGCAUGCUACAAUGGCCGGUACAAAGGGCUGCAAUACCGUAAGGUGGAGCGAAUCCCAAAAAGCCGGUCCCAGUUCGGAUUGAGGUCUGCAACUCGACCUCAUGAAGUCGGAGUCGCUAGUAAUCGCAGAUCAGCAACGCUGCGGUGAAUACGUUCCCGGGUCUUGUACACACCGCCCGUCAAGUCAUGAAAGUCGGUAACACCUGAAGCCGGUGGCCCAACCCUUGUGGAGGGAGCCGUCG
rnacentral:rRNA from 1 species